ACUAACAAGGAUUCCCCUAGUAACUGCGAGUGAAGCGGGAAAAGCUCAAAUUUAAAAUCUGGCGGUCUUUGGCCAUCCGAGUUGUAAUUUAGAGAAGCGUCUUCCGCGCCGGACCGUGCACAAGUCUCCUGGAAUGGAGCGUCAUAGAGGGUGAGAAUCCCGUCUUUGGCAUGGACCCUCGGUGCUUCUGUGAUGCGCUCUCGAAGAGUCGAGUUGUUUGGGAAUGCAGCUCAAAAUGGGUGGUGAACUCCAUCUAAAGCUAAAUAUUGGCGAGAGACCGAUAGCGAACAAGUACCGUGAGGGAAAGAUGAAAAGCACUUUGGAAAGAGAGUGAAACAGUACGUGAAAUUGUUGAAAGGGAAACGCUUGAAGUCAGUCGCGUCGACCAAGACUCAGCCUUGCCUCGGCUCGGUGUACUUCUUGGCUGACGGGCCAGCAUCAAUUUCGUCCCUCGGAUAAUGGUGAGGGAAAGGUGGCACCCUUACGGGUGUGUUAUAGUCCCUUGUCGCAUGCGAGGGGUGGGAUUGAGGAACUCAGCACGCGCCUUUAGGUGUCGGGGCUUCGGCCCACGUUACGUGCUUAGGAUGUUGGCGUAAUGGCUUUAAACGACCCGUCUUGAAACACGGACCAAGGAGUCUAACAUACCCGCGAGUGUUCGGGUGGAAAACCCGUGUGCGUAAUGAAAGUAAAAGUUGGGACCUCUGUCGUGGAGGGCACCGACGCCCGGACCAGACCUUCUGUGACGGAUCUGCGGUAGAGCGUGUAUGUUGGGACCCGAAAGAUGGUGAACUAUGCCUGAAUAGGGUGAAGCCAGAGGAAACUCUGGUGGAGGCUCGUAGCGAUUCUGACGUGCAAAUCGAUCGUCAAAUUUGGGUAUAGGGGCGAAAGACUAAUCGAACC
rnacentral:rRNA from 1 species